rnacentral:rRNA from 1 species
AACGAACGCUGGCGGCAUGCCUUACACAUGCAAGUCGAACGGUAACAGGUCUUCGGAUGCUGACGAGUGGCGAACGGGUGAGUAAUACAUCGGAACGUGCCCGAGAGUGGGGGAUAACGAAGCGAAAGCUUUGCUAAUACCGCAUACGAUCUCAGGAUGAAAGCAGGGGACCGCAAGGCCUUGCGCUCACGGAGCGGCCGAUGGCAGAUUAGGUAGUUGGGGGGAUAAAAGCUUACCAAGCCGACGAUCUGUAGCUGGUCUGAGAGGACGACCAGCCACACUGGGACUGAGACACGGCCCAGACUCCUACGGGAGGCAGCAGUGGGGAAUUUUGGACAAUGGGCGCAAGCCUGAUCCAGCCAUGCCGCGUGCAGGAUGAAGGCCUUCGGGUUGUAAACUGCUUUUGUACGGAACGAAAAGACUCUGGUUAAUACCUGGGGUCCAUGACGGUACCGUAAGAAUAAGCACCGGCUAACUACGUGCCAGCCGCCGCGGUAAAAC